UCUGGUGGUCGAGCUGAAGUUAGUAUGUUGUAGUAUUAUACUGUUACAAAUAUCGUUAUAGCAUGGGUUGAUAAGAAAUUUCAGAAAGAAAAGUGAUGUUUUUUUGUUGAAACGACAACAGACAGUCUGAACAUCAUGUUAUUAUUUUUGCUUUUAUCCACCAUUUGGCUUAUCCACCUGUGCUAAUCUAGAGUGUCUUUCCGUUAUAGAGAACAAGCUUGUGAACUUCAGGCGUUGUAUAUCUCUCCAAACCGCAGGUGCGGUACUUCUAUCUCCCUGUAAUUUUUAUGUGCCUGGAUUUACAGAACCUUGAGAGAGCGCUGGGCAAUGGACUGAAUCCUCUCUACAUACUUAACUCACGACACUCAGGUCGGUGUCACUGGUUGUACAUGUUUGCAUCCACCGUGUGGGUGGCCACCACCACAAACUGCUGUGGAACCUGGACCCUUGGGAUGUGGCCUCUCUUGCGAGUCAGGAAGAGAUGGUAGAAUAGAAACGUAGGGAGAUGGACUGUCGAACCAGAAAGAUGUAGAUUCAGAACACUUUGAGACAUCACCUCUUUAUGCCAAAGGGAAUUGAUGAUGAUGUGACAACAUGAAGCUAACAAGGUCUAGCAGAUAAUUAUAAUGCAGUGACGAGUGAAAAUGAGAGAGCACUACCAGAGAAAUGCUACAUAGCUUUUUAAGUGGCAUUAUGUUAGUUUAGUUUGAGCGCAAGUGUAAAAGUAUGUCUUUCUCACAUCCUUAAAAACGUUAAAAAAAAGAGCCCUUCACUGAUGCUUCUUGUGUGUAUGAGUGUCUCCUCCGGUUUUACUUACGAUUGUAGACUUAGCAUAUUCACUACUAUAGAACAAUCAAUUUUAUCUUUAUCAGUGUGAGAUGGACAAGAGACGAUUACAUCACUGACAUCA